rnacentral:lncRNA from 1 species
UGGGGUUCUCUGCAGGGUAUCAGUGCAAAUUCUGUGCAGCUACGUCACACUUCCACUCUAUGCUCUCGUCUCUCAGGUAUCCUCCUCAACUGUCUGCUACUUGUCGUCCCUCUGUUAUAGAAAGGAAGGGAUCUAGUCUUCUACACUAGGAGAUUCUGAAAGGAAACCAGGCGUGAACGGGGGGCUGACCAGCGUGAUCUGGACUUGUGUUCCCGUCUCAGAUGGGAUCGCGCAUGAAGAGGUCCGUCUUCGACGAGCAGACAGCCAAGGCUAUCAAGAAGUGGCAUCAGGUGGCGAAGAACAGGCGCGGGGGCGGCAAGUCCUCGACUCACUCCCCAUUCCGGACUCCCACAGAGAGCCGCAGCGGGAGCCCUAGCGCCUCCCCAGCGCGGCCGUUGCAGAGGUUCAUGACCACCGGCCACGCGACGGCGAUGACGACCCUUCCUCGGCGGUACUACUCCGACAACGAGCUCUCGGACAAUGAACACGAGGCCCCGCUCUUCUCACCCCACCACAAGGACUCCGCCACGCCGGCGGAGCAGCGCCUGGAGGUGACCGAAGACCAGCGAAACCCCGCCGAUGACUUCUCCUUCGCAAAGGCCGCCGCCGGCGGCUCCUCCGGCCGCCCCCCGCCGGUCUGAUCCCCUCUGCGCCUCUCCGAUCCCCCUCACCUGGGGAUGCCGUACCAUUCUGUCUACAUUCCCUUUCUGCAGAUUCUUUUUUUUCAAGCUUCCAACUGCUCCAUCUCGCGCUCCUCUACGUGGACCCUAUUUAUAUAGGAGGCCUUUUUGCCUGACGUGGAACUCGCCACGUCGGAUGAGAAAAAUGUGUGGGC